rnacentral:ncRNA from 2 species
AUCGUAUCAAGAGUGCGGAGAGAGUUCUGGCUCGAGGACCCGCCGGCAACCAGUCCAACAAGACACGGUGCCACAUCCAGCCCAAACGGGAAGAUACCUG